AUGCCUUCUCUCAAGAUUGGGACAUGCUGUGCCCCAAUACUCCUCUCCUUCCUGAGGAGUCUAACUGAUGACCAAUGGAGAGUGAUUCAGCAGGGCAUGAAAAAUAAUCUCACAUUCGAGCAGCUCUCCAUGCUGUGUCUGAAGAUUGUUAAAGUCGUGACCCAGACAGCCCUCCGCAUUCUCCUACCAGCGCUAGCUCGUAUCAUGGGGGUGAACCUGAGGAGUGGGGCAACCUCCCCAGAAUCCCAGUGCUCUCUGACAGGGUCUGAGGAUUCCUUAGGCAGUCUGGAUGAGAGAGAGAAAAGGCUGCUGAUCAGUGAGAUGAACUACUGGACUAAGGAGAGGAGGAGGAAUGGCAGUGCAGGAUGCCGCCAAAAAUCCACUCGCAGGACCUCAUCACCAUGCUGUUCGCCUAAGAGGUAUGUUCACAGCAAUAUUUCAACAUAAUAAUUGCAAGACCUGAUCCAUACUUAUCAUAAAUUAUUAACUUGGAAUUCACACCUUGUAGUUUUAAGUUCUGGUAAGUUCUGGUUCUGGAAAUGUUGCCACUGGGGGGGUGGGUCCAGGUG
ensembl:lncRNA